CACGCAGCAGAGUCUCUAUCAUGACUGUUCUCCUGCAGAGAGGGGCUUCAUGGGAAGGAGCUCUCUGCACUGCACAAAUACUAUGACUACAUAGUGCUUUACCACACAGCAGUAAUUUGAUGUUUAACCAUGCCACUGAGGUGACUUUCAAAGUUGACUUUCCAAGGAUGAAAAAUUGGUGCCCAAAUGAUGGGACUUCGGAGAGACCCCAUCCCCACUACAACCACCCAGCAUUCUCUCCAGACUUGCCACCGGUACAGCAUGGAUCCUUUGAGUUCCUUCAACUUCUGAGGACUGCCUCUAGUAACCACUAUUCUACUCUCUACG